UACGUAGGGUGCAAGCGUUGUCCGGAAUUAUUGGGCGUAAAGAGCUCGUAGGCGGUCUGUCGCGUCGGCUGUGAAAUCCCGAGGCUCAACCUCGGGUCUGCAGUCGAUACGGGCAAACUAGAGUAUUGCAGGGGAGACUGGAAUUCCUGGUGUAGCGGUGAAAUGCGCAGAUAUCAGGAGGAACACCGGUGGCGAAGGCGGUUCUCUGGGCAAUAACUGACGCUGAGGAGCGAAAGCGUGGGGAGCGAACAGG
rnacentral:rRNA from 1 species